UACGAAGGGGGCUAGCGUUGUUCGGAAUUACUGGGCGUAAAGCGCGCGCAGGCGGUCUUUUAAGUCAGGGGUGAAAGCCCAGAGCUCAACUCUGGAAUUGCCUUUGAAACUAGAAGACUUGGGUACGGGAGAGGUGAGUGGAAUUCCGAGUGUAGAGGUGAAAUUCGUAGAUAUUCGGAAGAACACCAGUGGCGAAGGCGGCUCACUGGCCCGUUACCGACGCUCAGGCGCGACAGCGUGGGGAUCAAACAGGAUUAGAUACCCUGGUAGUCCACGCCGUAAACUAUGGAUGCUAGCCGUUGGUAAGCAUGCUUAUCAGUGGCGCAGCUAACGCAUUAAGCAUCCCGCCUGGGGAGUACGGCCGCAAGGUUGAA
rnacentral:rRNA from 1 species